AAUACAAAUCGCAAAAAACAUAUAUGAAGAACAACCAUAUAGUAAUAAUACUACUAAUAAUAUUUGUACUAAUGAAAGUACUAAUAACAAAAAAACAAAUCUAUAUCGUUUACAACCUCCACCUCCACCUGCAUUUACUAUGUAUAACAUAAAUAACAAGGACAUCCGAAUUAAUGAAAGUGCAAAAUAUUUUAACAAUUACAAAAAUGCUUUUAUUAUGAAUAACGGGCAUGACGAUAUUACUACUACUAACACUACUAGUACUAACACUACUAGUACUAGUACUAGUACUACUACUAAUAAUAAUACUACUACUGCUACUGCUACUACUGCUACUGCUACUACUACUACUGCUACUGCUACUACUACUGCUAAUAAAAACGAUAAUAAAGAUAAUAAUGAUUAUAAUGAUUAUAAUGAUUAUAAUGACAAAGGAGAUGACACAUGUAAUAACACCCGAAUUAGUACUUAUCACUAUAACUGUUUUUUGAACUCUGUUCAACCCUAUAGUCCAAACAAAACAUCAUACUUUAGUAAAAAUGUUGUACCACCACCACCCAAUGUGAAAAAUGUUAAUUAUAAAAACAAAUCGGAUUUACCUAUGAAAAAUAAAGUUUUGUUACUAAGAGCUUCAGCAAAAGACAAAACAAACAUUACAACUAUGGGUAUUAGUAAUACUAACACUAAUGCUAAGGAUAAACAUAUAAAUGAUAAUAUUAACAAUGAAAUGAAUGAAUUUGAAAAUACAGAUGUAUCUUGUUUGGAAUCAUCACAUGGUACCAACGCAAAUGACACAAAUGACACAAAUGACAAUAAUAACACAAAUCGUGCCAGCACAAAUGAACAUGAAUACGAACAUGAACAUGAACAUGAACAUGAACACAACACUUUUAUAGGUGAAAAAAAUCCUUUCCAUAUAAAUCGUGAUAAUACAAUGCAGUUUAAUCCAUCAUGGAUUGAAAGAAAAGAAAAAAGUGUUUUUAAUUGGAAAUCAUCUCAAUCUAUACAAAAUAAACAUCUGGAUUAUGUUAAUUCAUUUUUGAAUAACAAAAUAUAUAAUCGUUAUUUAUUAAUAACAAAUAUACCAACUAGUUUGAAUGAUGAACGUAAAUUGAAGGCGUAUAUAAAUAAAUUAAUUGAUGAUUCAACUGGUGCUGAAACAGAUACUAAUAAAGGAAAUAACAAAAACUCCGCUUGUGUUGAAUGCACUAUUUUUAUGGCUAAGAAAGAAAAUGAAUCUGUUUUUUUUUUUAAAACAAACAGUUCUGAUAAUAUACAUCCUGAUGACGGGAACAUAGAAAAAAGUGAACCUUCAUCGGACUUACCGAUUGAAGUUGCUGUAGAUGACACAAAUGUGCAUGAGGUUGAUGAAUGUAUGGACAAACAGUUGGUAGGAAAUUUACAACACGAGUCACAACAUAUAUCAGAAAAAGGAAAAGGGGGUCACACCCAAAACGAAUCUAUAAAUAAUAACAGCAGUAGUAACAAUGACAAUGGUAGUGGUAAUGGCAGUGGUAAUGGCAGUGGUAAUGGCAGUGGUAACGGCAGUGGUAAUGGCAGUGGUAAUGGCAGUGGUAAUGGCAGUGGUAAUGGCAGUGGUAAUGGCAGUGGUAACGGCAGUGGUAAUGGCAGUGGUAAUCAUGAUGAACAGAACGAAAUCAACACUGUUGGAAAAAAGUGUGAAACAAAACCAACAGAAGACGAACAAAAAGAUGAAAAGGGUACCACUAGUAAUAGUACCACUAGUAACAAUAACACUAGUAACAAUAACACUAGUAACAAUAACACUAGUAACAGUAACACUAGUAACAAUAACACUAGUAACAAUAACACUAAUUCUAUUACUAAUGAAUCAGACAAAAAUAGAGAAAUAAAUUGUGAAACAAAAGAUGGUAAAAACAUAAAUGAAACACAUAAUGUUAAUGAUAAAGAAAAAAUAGAAACGAUGGAAGUUGAACCAAAACACGAUGAAUCACCCACACCCACACCCACACCCACACCCACUGUGUUUGACUCCUCAUCAUGUUUACUACCAAAAGAACAAGAUGAUAAAGAAACAGAAACAAACCCUUCAACAUUAAUACCAUACGCUCACUUAACUUUUAGAACUAUCAAACAAUGUUUUGAUAUUAAAAAAUUAUUAGAAGAACAAAAUUUUAAAGUUGCAUUUUCAGCCCCAAAAAAAGCACAUAAUUGUCUAUGGGUUGGUAACUUACUAAAAAAUUAUUUUGUUCAAACAUCAAAUAUAUUAAUGAAUAUGUUUUCUUAUUUUGGUAACAUCAUAAAAACAAAAUAUAUGGCUGAUAAAAAUUGUUUUUUUGUUUAUUAUAAAGAUAUAGAAAGUGCAAUAGCAGCUAGAAAUCAUCUAUGCGGAAUGCAAAUAUCAAAUAGGACCUUAUUAAAUGUUGAUUUUUCCAGUAUGUCAAAUGACAUAGAUGAAAAACCCAAAACAAAUUAUCAUUACUAUUAUAAUAAUCGUUAUUACUAUAAUGACACUAAUGCUAGUAAUAGUAGUAGUAGUAGUAUAAAAAAAAAAAAACCUGAACCUUUAUAUAAUAUCUACAAAAAAGGUUUUAAUUAUAUGCAUCAUAAGUUACAUAAUAGAUUAAAAUAUAACAGACAUAAUAAGACAUUAGUAAAUAACAAUAGUAGUACUAGUUUAUCCUUUAAAAAUAGUGAAAGGAACAGAAGAAGAAUGGAAACAUCAACAUCGGAUGUAGUAAUUGAUGAGAGUGUUAAUGAUGACACUGCUACUGUAGCUGUCGACACUUCUGAUAAUACGACUGCUAAUAAUACGACUGCUAAUAAUACGACUGCUAAUAAUACGACUACUAAUAAUACGACUACUGGUAAUAACUACAAAUACGACAAAUAUUAUAACAACAUACAUAAUAAUCAUAAAAAAAAAUACAUAAUAAAUAAAAAUAAUAAUAUUAAUACAUAUAACUAUAAAAGUGAUAGAAAUAAUAAAACCAAAUUGUAUAAACAUAAUAUGGAUUAUGUCAAAAGACAUAAACAUGCUAGAUCAUCUUAUAACAGGAAAACAGAAAGGAAAGUCAUAUCGAAGCAGGGUGGUGGUUUAUAUCGCUAUACAGAUGACCAUCGAACAACUGAAUACGACCAUAAAGACCAUGACGACCAUAAAGACCAUGACGACCAUGAAGACCAUGACGAUCAUGACCAACAUGACCAACAUGAUGAACACACAACGGAUAGUAAAAGAUUACACAGAACACAUAAAAGAAAAAGAGAUGGUGCAAGUGACAGAUAUGACGAGAAAAACACAAAAUCGAAUAAUUUUUCAAAGGGCGAUAGCCAAACUUAUGGAAGCAAACCAUCCGACUAUGAUGCAACAUACAACAUCAAAUAUGAGAUUAAUAAUAAUGACCGUAAUAUCAAUAAUGGUAAAAGUAGAUAUAUAAGUACACAACGAAGUAAAGAAUGGAGUAAAGAAAAAAGUAAAGAAUGGAGUAAAGAAAAAAGUAAAGAAAGAAGUAAAGAAAGAAGUAAAGAAAGAAGUAAAGAAAGAAGUAAAGAAAGAAGCAAGGGAAAAAGUAGAAACAAAAAUAAAUACAGCAAUAAUGGUAACAACGUUAAUGGUUUUAUAAAAAACGGUGUAGAUCAUUUUACUAAUCAAAAUGAAAUUUUUAAUAGUGACAACAAUGGACAGGACAAAAACGAGAAGGAGGUUGCUUUUUAUGUAAACCAGAAAUAUGAAUGUGACCUUGGUGCGAAAUUCUAUGAUGGGAAUCCUCAAAUAAGCAUUUAUAACAAACUAAAUGUAGAAACACAAAGCGACAUCAGAAGUUUGAAGCAAAUAAAAAACAUUUGCCUCGAUUAUUCAGUUUGGCAAUUGGGUCCAAGUAAUACACACAUACAUGGCUAUAUGCGUCACAGAUAUAUGUACAUUUGUGUUUUGUGC
rnacentral:lncRNA from 1 species